UUGAACGUUUUACUUCGUUACUUGCAACUUUCAGAUCGCCUUCUAUGCGAUUAACGUCACUUUCCAAAGCAUCAAAAACGUAAUGACAAUGCUACUCAUCUAGAAUUACGAGUCCAUCAAAAAUAUAAAAUAUUUUGUGCUGGUAUUUAUAUCACAAACAUGGCUUUUGAAGAGUAUAGUGGUGUUUAUCUACCUGAGCGUGGAGUGUGAGAGGUUCUAUGCGGCCAUGAGGGAUGUACACGAUACCAGUAUCAUGCUCAUGAACUCAGAACAAUUUGCAGAACUGGACAUGCGAGUGUACAAGAACAUCCAUCGUGCGCGAAGAUCAUUGUUCAGUAAGCUGGACGGAUGUCGUCUCUUUCAAGUGGACGCUGAACUGCCGCUGCAGCUGUCCAGGCUCAUCUCCUCUUAUAUCAUCGUGUGCUUGCAGUUCGCCUUCUUGUAAUACAAACGUAUCUUUUACUUCAAUACAGGGUUAUAGGUAAAACCCUAACAACCUCUCAGGACCAUAUUACUAAUAUCAUAAACUAAAACUUUUGUUCUAUGACUUUUAAUAAUUGCUAGCCGCCACACAGCGGUUACGAGAUUACGGGCAAUUCCGGCAUGCCAUCAGGGAUAGUGAUCGUCCACCGAGGCACACAGUACGUGAAGAAGACGAUAUUUUGUGUUUUUAUUUGACCUUUUCGUAAAAAGGCGGGAUAUCUUAGCGUAGCGAGUUACCAACUCAAAAGUAUGAUUAGGUACGAGAAUAGUGCGCGGGAGGCGUAGGGUAGACAAAGAUCUUGCAUUCAUUCUAAAAAUGCAAACCCUUCACCAAACGAAUUUAUUGUAAUGUGUGAUAAUCUCGACUCGUCCGCACACUCUAAGGUCGACUAAUCGCUCGACUGGUCUCGAUCGGGCCUUUUGUUGGUGAAGAAAUGGUAGGGGCGUGCUUUAUCACUAUAGCAAAAUAGAGUUGAAAUGUGUUAAAUAGACCAAUGAAAUCUUGUAGGUUUGUUUUUGGCAAAUGUAUUAUGUUUUAUAAAAAAUCAUAGAACAAAAGUUGUAGUUUAUUACGUUAGUAAUACAGUCCUGCAAGGUUGUUAGUGAUUUUAACAAUAACCCUGUAUAAGUGGUUUCUUUAUUAAUGGUGAUGUUUUCUUUCUUUAUUAAUGGUGAUGUUUUCUUCUGUUUAUUGUCUUGUUUUCAUAUGUAUUGUUAUUUUUAUCAAUUAUAUUCGGUGUGACGUUAAGAUUGGCAGUGACAAGCCUUUAAUUUAUGCUAUUAUCAUUAUCUUGUAAACGUUUAAUAAAUCACGUUCACUUUGGUUAUCA